AUUGAACGCUGGCGGCAGGCUUAACAUAUUGAAGUCGAGCGGAGAGAGGUAGCUUGCUACUGAUCUUAGCGGCGGACGGGUGAGUAAUGCGUAGGAAUCUGCCUAUUAGUGGGGGACAACAUUUCGAAAGGACUGCUAGUACCGCAUCCGUCUUACGGGAGAAAGCAGGUGAUAUUCGGACAUAGAGCUAAUAGAUGAGCCUCAGUCGGAUUAGCUAGUUGUUGGUGUAAAGGCCUACCAAGACGACGAUGUGUAGCGGGUCGGAGAGGAUGAUCCGCCACACUGGGACUGAGACACGGCCCAGACUCCUACGGGCGGCAGCAGUGGGGAAUAUUGGACAAUGGGCGGAAGCCUGAUCCAGCCAGGCCGCGUGUGUGAAGAAGGCCUUAUGGUUGUAAAGCACUUUAAGCGAGGAGGAGACUACUUUAGUUAAUACCUAGAAAUAGUGGACAUUACUCGCAGAAUAAACACCGGCUAACUCUGUGCCAGCAGCCGCCGUAACAC
rnacentral:rRNA from 1 species